CACAGGUCUGCGCCUCCGGCCUGCGGGAUCGAAGGGAAAGGAAUCCGAUCCGGGGAGGCAAGCCUGGGAGACGUCAUGGCUCCUUAUCAGCCAGUCAGGCCCCAUGGGACCACACAUCCCAGGAAACACCAGGGUGCCCUGCUGAGCAUGGAGGUGGAAGAGGACACCAGGACAAGGGGACAUAGAUCCUACCUUUGAAGGAAGGAGAAAAAUCAUUCUUCUUAGGGACCCCUCAUCCAGGGGGCAAGGCACGGCCCUGUCCUUCAAGAACUCCAGUCUCAAAGAAAGGACAUGGCUGUAUCAUGGGGGAUCCUCAGUCUGAGGCGUUCUCAGAACACAGAUACAGAGAGACAAACAGAGAGACAGCUGUUGUCCUGUUUGGAGGGGUGACAGCAGAAAUCAAAGAAUUCCACUCCUCCAUGGAAAGACAAAAGACAGGUGCUCACCCUGGGAUGGAGGGGGCAGUGGGAGCCUGUUAGUACAUCUGUGAUCCCAGGGGUCAGGGCCUACAGAAGGACCCUGCAGGCUAAUGGGGGCAAGGAUACCAGAGAGUAGGGGCCUGUUUGCUCUUCUGACCCUGCAGCACUAACCAUGGGGGGAUAGGGAGUUUCUAGUGCACUGAUUCCAGGCAGAGAGAUGGAGCCUGUGAGAUGUCCACAGGGAAUCUGACAUCCCUGGAACCCCGUCAUGUCUUGGGGAAUAUGGGGUCCAAGGACAGAUGGGAAGACAGGAGAGACAUUAUAGAAGCUAAAGGGUAUGGGAUGGCCUGAAUUUGGGCUACAACCUCUGAAGAAGUCACUUCCUCAUUUAUAGCCAAAGUAAAUGGGCACCCAGAUAGUCUCAGUGUGGACCAGGAGCCAGCCUCACACAUCCCUCCAAGCCCUCCCUAUCCAUCAUACUCCCACCCUCCAAUUUCACUCCCCACUUACAGGGCAAGCCGAUUGGUUCAUUAAUCACUGCCUCCUCAUCAGAGAGCUUGUUAACUUGUUGAUUAGUGGGGAGUAUGUCUCAGUCCUCGGUCAAUGGGCUUGGCUACAUCCAUCCACACACCCACACCCAUCAUUGAUGCAUGACUCAGUGGUCAUGAGACAUGUCUGGGGGUUGGGGGGCUGACAUCUGUGAGGGCAGAAAGUUCAGACACAAUUGUUUUUGUAGAUGUUUGAGACCAGGGCCUGCCUCCAACUUGUCCUUGAAGGGUAGGGGACAGAAUCACUAGGGCUUCCUUGGCCCCAUUCUCAGAGCCCCGGGCAAGGCCACCCUAAGUCAGGGAGACCAUGGACCUGGACCCUAGCCAACCAUUCCCCUUGUCCGGUGGGCUCAAGGGUCACUCAUCAAGGGGGUGUGGCCUCUGCCAUUCAUCCUUAGAGGUCUAGAAUUUUGCACCCCAUCACCCACCUGCCCGUACCCACUCCCCACACAUAAGCCCUCUCUUUGAUCAUCGUGCACUGUGCAGCACUGGCCCACUGCCCUUCCGCCUGCAGGCAUUUCCUCAUGCCCAGGGUCCUGCAGACAGCAGAUGGUCAUACAGCAAGAGUAAUUCGAUCCUCAUUCAACAAGCGUUUAUGAAGUCCCUGCUGUGUGCCAGGCACUCAUCUAGGGACUGGGAUAGGGCAGUGAACAAACAGGCAAAACCCUUGCCCUCAUAGAGCUCACAUUCUAGUGACAGGAAAU
rnacentral:lncRNA from 10 species